UGGUUGCAGGACAUCCACUUUUACAGUGCC
rnacentral:piRNA from 1 species